GUAGCUCAGUUGGUUAGAGCGUGGGUCUAAUAAGCAUCUGUAUGCGUAUACAACCCAAGGUCGCUGGUUCAAGCCCGGCCU
rnacentral:tRNA from 1 species